GACGAACGCUGGCGGCGUGCUUAACACAUGCAAGUCGAACGGAAAGGCCCUGCUUUUGUGGGGUGCUCGAGUGGCGAACGGGUGUGUAACACGUGAGUAACCUGCCCUUGACUUUGGGAUAACUUCAGGAAACUGGGGCUAAUACCGGAUAGGAGCUCCUGCUGCAUGGUGGGGGUUGGAAAGUUUCGGCGGUUGGGGAUGGACUCGCGGCUUAUCAGCUUGUUGGUGGGGUAGUGGCUUACCAAGGCUUUGACGGGUAGCCGGCCUGAGAGGGUGACCGGCCACAUUGGGACUGAGAUACGGCCCAGACUCCUACGGGAGGCAGCAGUGGGGAAUAUUGCACAAUGGGCGGAAGCCUGAUGCAGCAACGCCGCGUGCGGGAUGACGGCCUUCGGGUUGUAAACCGCUUUCGCCUGUGACGAAGCGUGAGUGACGGUAAUGGGUAAAGAAGCACCGGCUAACUACGUGCCAGCAGCCGCGGUGAUACGUAGGGUGCGAGCGUUGUCCGGAUUUAUUGGGCGUAAAGGGCUCGUAGGUGGUUGAUCGCGUCGGAAGUGUAAUCUUGGGGCUUAACCCUGAGCGUGCUUUCGAUACGGGUUGACUUGAGGAAGGUAGGGGAGAAUGGAAUUCCUGGUGGAGCGGUGGAAUGCGCAGAUAUCAGGAGGAACACCAGUGGCGAAGGCGGUUCUCUGGGCCUUUCCUGACGCUGAGGAGCGAAAGCGUGGGGAGCGAACAGGCUUAGAUACCCUGGUAGUCCACGCUGUAAACGGUGGGUACUAGGUGUGGGGUCCAUUCCACGGGUUCCGUGCCGUAGCUAACGCUUUAAGUACCCCGCCUGGGGAGUACGGCCGCAAGGCUAAAACUCAAAGGAAUUGACGGGGCCCCGCACAAGCGGCGGAGCAUGCGGAUUAAUUCGAUGCAACGCGUAGAACCUUACCUGGGUUUGACAUGGAUCGGGAGUGCUCAGAGAUGGGUGUGCCUCUUUUGGGGUCGGUUCACAGGUGGUGCAUGGCUGUCGUCAGCUCGUGUCGUGAGAUGUUGGGUUAAGUCCCGCAACGAGCGCAACCCUUGUUCACUGUUGCCAGCACGUUAUGGUGGGGACUCAGUGGAGACCGCCGGGGUCAACUCGGAGGAAGGUGGGGAUGACGUCAAGUCAUCAUGCCCCUUAUGUCCAGGGCUUCACGCAUGCUACAAUGGCUGGUACAGAGAGUGGCGAGCCUGUGAGGGUGAGCGAAUCUCGGAAAGCCGGUCUCAGUUCGGAUUGGGGUCUGCAACUCGACCUCAUGAAGUCGGAGUCGCUAGUAAUCGCAGAUCAGCAACGCUGCGGUGAAUACGUUCCCGGGGCU
rnacentral:rRNA from 1 species